rnacentral:rRNA from 1 species
CAUUCACGGAGAGUUUGAUCCUGGCUCAGGACGAACGCUGGCGGCGUGCUUAACACAUGCAAGUCGAACGAUGAAACCGCUUCGGUGGUGGAUUAGUGGCGAACGGGUGAGUAACACGUGGGCAAUCUGCCCUUCACUCUGGGACAAGCCCUGGAAACGGGGUCUAAUACCGGAUAACACUCUGUCCCGCAUGGGACGGGGUUAAAAGCUCCGGCGGUGAAGGAUGAGCCCGCGGCCUAUCAGCUUGUUGGUGGGGUAAUGGCCUACCAAGGCGACGACGGGUAGCCGGCCUGAGAGGGCGACCGGCCACACUGGGACUGAGACACGGCCCAGACUCCUACGGGAGGCAGCAGUGGGGAAUAUUGCACAAUGGGCGAAAGCCUGAUGCAGCGACGCCGCGUGAGGGAUGACGGCCUUCGGGUUGUAAACCUCU